UACAGAGGUCCCAAGCGUUGUUCGGAUUCACUGGGCGUAAAGGGUGCGUAGGUGGUGAGGUAAGUUUGAUGUGAAAUCUCCGGGCUCAACCCGGAAAUGGCAUUGAAUACUAUCUUGCUAGAGGAGUGGAGGGGGGACUGGAAUACUUGGUGUAGCAGUGAAAUGCGUAGAUAUCAGGAGGAACACCGGUGGCGAAGGCGGCAUCCUGGACCGGCAUUGACGCUGAGGCGCGAAAGCCAGGGGAGCAAACGGG
rnacentral:rRNA from 1 species